GAGCAAACCUUGCAGAAAGAAGGUCCGAGUUUUGGCAAGUCCAUUCAUCAUCAUCAUCACCAUCACGUUCAUGCUCUUAAUCUUAAUUAAUUAAAUUUGAUUCAUAACACAUCGAUCACACUUCAAUUCGCAGAUGCUAACUCUCUCCACUGAUUCAGAAAGAAGCGUCGACUGACUGCUCAAGAUUCCUAAUCUAGGUUACAAAGUACCACGCUGCACGAAAUUGCAAGGCUAUGCUUGGAAUACCAAAGAUGAGCAGCAGGGAGCAAAAAAGCUGUGAGAAAUAGGCAGAGGGAAAAGUCCAGAGCAGAACUAACCAGAGCAGAGUUGCCAGAGCAAAGCUUCCAGAGCAGAGCUGCCAGAGCAGAGUUGCCAGAGCAGAGCUUCCAGAGCAGAGCUGCCAGAGCUAGAGCUAACCAGAGCAGAGCUUCCAGAGCAGAAUGCCAGAGCCAAGUUGCCAGAGCAGAGAUGCCAGAGCCAGAGCUAGCCAGGGCAGAGAUGCCAGAGCCAGAGCUAACCAGAGCAGAGUUGCCAGAGCAAAGCUUCCAAAGCAGAGCUUCCAGAGCAGAACUGCCAGAGCCAGAGCCAGAGCCAGAGCUAACCAGAGCAGAGCUUCCAAAGCAGAGGGCCAGAGCCAAGUUGCCAGAGCAGAGAUGCCAGAGCUAAGUCAAUAAAGUCAGAGCCAGAGCCAAGUCGCCAGAUCCAGAGUCAGAGCUAAGUCAUUAGAGUCAGAGCCAACUCGCCAGAUCCAGAGUCAGAGCUAAGAUAUUGGAGCCAGAGAGCAGAGCCACACGCCAGAGACAAUUCGCCAGAAGGCGAAGCUACUUAGCAGAGCGUGCCAAAGAGUAGAAGUCUGCCCCAAGGAAGGAAAUCCAGAGCUACUAGACAGAGCGGGAUGAUGAAGACAGAAUCCAGCUCUGUAAUUAGGGGACAACGACCUGACAAGUUAUAAUCUAAUAAUAGCCUUAAUUAGUUUAAUGGAUUAGGCCUGCGGAAUAGAUAACCAGACGAAUUUACUACUUUACCCCGACUGUAAUGCCUAUAAAUACCUACGAUGAUGAAAUAAAACACACGCUCUCUCUUUUACUGCUUUAA